rnacentral:rRNA from 1 species
UACGUAGGGGGCAAGCGUUGUCCGGAUUUAUUGGGCGUAAAGAGCGUGUAGGCGGCCUGACAAGUCUGCUGUGAAAACUCGAGGCUCAACCUCGAGAUGUCGGCGGAAACUGUCUGGCUAGAGUCCGGAAGAGGAGAGUGGAAUUCCUGGUGUAGCGGUGAAAUGCGCAGAUAUCAGGAAGAACACCCGUGGCGAAGGCGGCCCUCUGGGACGGUACUGACGCUGAGACGCGAAAGCGUGGGGGAGCAAACAGG